rnacentral:rRNA from 1 species
GACGAACGCUGGCGGCGUGCUUAACACAUGCAAGUCGAACGCUGAAGCUUGGUGCUUGCACUGGGUGGAUGAGUGGCGAACGGGUGAGUAAUACGUGAGUAACCUGCCCUUGACUCUGGGAUAAGCCUGGGAAACUGGGUCUAAUACUGGAUACGACAUGUCACCGCAUGGUGGUGUGUGGAAAGGGUUUUGCUGGUUUUGGAUGGGCUCACGGCCUAUCAGCUUGUUGGUGGGGUAAUGGCUCACCAAGGCGACGACGGGUAGCCGGCCUGAGAGGGUGACCGGCCACAAUGGGACUGAGACACGGCCCAGACUCCUACGGGAGGCAGCAGUGGGGAAUAUUGCACAAUGGGCGGAAGCCUGAUGCAGCGACGCCGCGUGAGGGAUGACGGCCUUCGGGUUGUAAACCUCUUUCAGCACGGAAGAAGCGAAAGUGGCGGUACGUGCAGAAGAAGCGCCGGCUAACUACGUG